GUGUCAGCCGCCGCGGUAAGACGAACCACACGAACGUUAUUCGGAAUUACUGGGCUUAAAGGGUGCGUAGGCUGUGCAGAAAGUUAGGUGUGAAAUCCCCCGGCUCAACCGGGGAAUUGCGCUUAAAACUACUGUGCUAGAGGAAUACAGAGGUGAGCGGAACUUCGGGUGGAGCGGUGAAAUGCGUUGAUAUCCGAAGGAACACCGGUGGCGAAAGCGGCUCACUGGGUAUUUUCUGACGCUGAUGCACGAAAGCUAGGGGAGCAAACGGGAUUAGAAACCCUCGUAGUCC
rnacentral:rRNA from 1 species